UACGUAGGGUGCGAGCGUUGUCCGGAAUUAUUGGGCGUAAAGGGCUCGUAGGCGGUUUGUCGCGUCGGGAGUGAAAACCCAGGGCUUAACCCUGGGCUGGCUUUCGAUACGGGCAGACUAGAGGUAUGCAGGGGAGAACGGAAUUCCUGGUGUAGCGGUGAAAUGCGCAGAUAUCAGGAGGAACACCGGUGGCGAAGGCGGUUCUCUGGGCAUUACCUGACACUGAGGCACGAAAGCUAGGGGAGCAAACAGG
rnacentral:rRNA from 1 species